GGGGUAAACCUGCGAAACUCGAAUGAACGAACGGGGAGAUUCAUCGUCAUCCGGCGGGCGGCUAGAUCGUCGCGCGAUGGUUGGCCCUCCGGCGAUUUCGGUCGUCGGUGCGAGUCGAUCACGCGCUCGGUCUACGCAUCACGUUCGUCGGCGGCGUGCACUUCUCCCUUAGUACUGCAUCGCGACCCGCUCGAUGUCGGCCUAAGCGUCGUCCGGAAGCCCUCGGCGUCUCUGCGCGCCCAGGACCGCGACGAAUGCCGGCCGGCUGUCGGGCGGUAGUUGACAUGAAACACGCACGCGCUUGUCGCGUCCGGCCCGACGCAAGGUCGUCGCGAUGCCGCCGUGUCGCCUAUAUUGUGCGGGCGGUGUGCGUCCGGCGCCUGCUUAUCGCAGCCGUGUCGUCUCGGACGUGCGUGUAUCGAGUCUGCGAUGUUUUUGUUUCGGGCACUCGCAGGACCCGUCUUGAAACACGGACCAAGGAGUCUAGCAUGUGUGCGAGUCACUAGGUGUUAUACUAAACCGAAGGGCGCAACGAAAGUGAAGGCGUGCGCUUGUCGCGCGCUCGGGGAGGAUGGCGGUGCGCUAACAAGGCCACCGCUCGCACUCCCGAGGCGUCCCGUUCGCAAUUUGUCGAUGUGGGCGCGCUCAGAGCACAGAUGCUGGGACCCGAAAGAUGGUGAACUAUGCCUGGUCAGGUCGAAGUCAGGGGAAACCCUGAUGGAGGACCGUAGCGAUUCUGACGUGCAAAUCGAUCGUCGGAACUGGGUAUAGGGGCGAAAGACUAAUCAACCWUC
rnacentral:rRNA from 1 species